UACGGAGGAUGCGAGCGUUAUCCGGAUUUAUUGGGUUUAAAGGGUGCGUAGGCGGAAUAUCAAGUCAGCGGUAAAAAUUCGGGGCUCAACCCCAUCCAGCCGUUGAAACUGGGGAUCUAGAGUGUGCGAGAGGUAUGCGGAAUGCGUGGUGUAGCGGUGAAAUGCUUAGAUAUCACGAAGAACUCCGAUUGCGAAGGCAGCCUGCUGGACUGUAACUGACGCUGAGGAGCGAAAGCGUGGGGAGCGAACAGG
rnacentral:rRNA from 1 species